UCUUCUCCUUUCUUCCUUCUGUUUUUUCUUUUUUUUGUUCAAAAUCUGCAUAACACGAAGCCAUUAUUCAUCCUUCAAUUCUUCAUCUGAGCAGCUUGUGAGCCAUCGCGCCUGUGCAUUCCAGUUUUCACCACCAUUGUCGCCUACUGUCUGGAUCUGAGAUGGAAGGUUUGUACUUGUUGCGGAGCAGGUUGGCAUAUGUUUGUAUAUCCUGGCGAAAGCCGAUUCAUAUCGUGAUGCAGCUGAUAGAUUUCAACACUCAAUAUCAACUAUUUGUAUCUAUAAUAGAAAGGUAUUGCAAGCCUUAGUUGCAUUAUCAAAAGAUAUCAUUCGGCCAUAUCAAAGUUUAAAUGAAGUUCCAACAAAAAUCGCCAACAAUGAUAAGUAUUGGCCUUUCUUUAAGGAUUGUAUUGGUGCUCUAGAUGGGACCCACAUAGACGCAAUAGUAGGAGAUAAAGCUGCACAACCAUUUAGAUGUCGUAAAGGAAACAAAAUGUGGAAUGUGUUAGCUUCUUGUUCUUUUGAUAUGCUUUUCAUGUACAUUUGUGUCGGGUUCGAAGGAAGUGCACAUGACACAGCAGUUUUGAGGCAUUGUUUAAGCGAUCCUAAUAUGGGAUUCCACCACCCACCUCCAGG